CAUCGCUGCGGCUCCACUCCGAGCCCGGGUCUCGCGAUUCCCGGGCCCGCUCUGCUGAGGGCCCCCGGACACACACAUCCGCAUGUCCCGCAGUCCAGAGCCUGCCACCACCCUCACCGGUGUCCCCUCAGGAAGCUCCAGCAAGAAGUGGUUCACGCGCCCAGCGCCUGGCCGCUGCAUCCCGUGAGCGCUCCGGUGCCAGGCAAAACGCUCGCAGAGGGGCUCCAGGGACGAUGCGUGGUGGCACAGGGCGCGCUCAUCGGGACACUGGCCUCCAACGGCUGCCGAAGCUGCCCUGUCAGCCUCGGGAAGUGCAGCCGGCCACCUAGAGGCCCCGCUCAUGCAGCUAAUGCAGGAAGAACACGGUGCCGAUCUUUCCCCGAGCUGCACACACAGGAAGCUGUGAUGGACGCAAGCUGGUGUCUGCGAACUACGUAUCGGGUCCGUUUGGUCUUCGCGGGUGUGCGUCCCCGGCCUGCGCGUUGCCCCGCUUCUUUCGAUCAGGGGUAGGGGCUGGGGUCCCUCUCGUGCCUGCUGUGCAAAGUGGCUUCUGUCUUUCCCAUGACGGCGGGACGCUCUGCUCCGGGACACGCCUCGGUCAGGCUCCCAGUUCCUGUCACGGGGCACGUCGUGGUUGUUUCUGCCUGUUUUCAUUGCCACCGGUGCUCCCCUGAAGUCUUUUUCCACCCGUCCCCUUUGUCCCCAUUUGUGGAGGUUGGUCGCAGCUCUCACCCUUCGCCCACGAGCAGGGACACAGAUGCAGUGCCCGGAACCAGGUCCCCCCGCCGCGGCCACACAGCAAGCUCUCUGCACCGCCCGUCGGUCACCCAGCAGACCCGCCCGCCCUUCCUCCAUGCCGGCCCCCAGCUCCUGUGCUGAAGCCGUCCCGUGUCGUCCCAGGCCGAGCUUGUAGCUCUGUCGCACUCAGGUUUCAUCCUGGCCCCGGCCCCGGUGCCUGCAGUAAAGCGGGCAUAUUCCGUAAGCUUUGGUCGAGUGGCUGCAAGGACAAUGGAAACACGUGCAAAAUGUGGCCAGCGGGGGCCGGGGAGCCUUGCCGCUCUCGCCCUCCCACGGGCAGCUCCCUGCUCAUUGCCGUAGGUCCCUGGGGUCUCCACGCUUGCAUCUCCCGAGCCGCACUGCCGGCCCCCUCGAUGCCACAGCCCCCCACGAACAUCAGCCAGGUGACGCGCUCGGCCGUGCCACGAGGAGGCAGAGGGAGCUUCCCGCGGCCACCGCGGCAGCAUCGGCCACGUUCUCCUCCAGGACCGCAGAGGCCCUGACCGGCCAUCGGCACCGGGUCGAGUGGCGUCCCUCCAAACUCCGUGUCCACCAGGCCCUGUGAACGUGACCUUACUGGAAAGAGUCUUUGCCGAGGAAAUCCAGGGAAGCUGGAGCGGGGUGGACCUCAGUCCACUGGGAUUGGUGCUCCAGACUGAAGGUCGUGCCCCCACGAAAUGCAUUAUGGAAACCCUAAUCCCCUGGGGCCUUUGUGGGGUGAGUGGGUCAUGAGGAUGGAGCCCUCACGAAUGAGGUUAGCGCUCUCGUAAGGAGAGGCCCAAGAGCCAGGUGGCUUUCCUGCCACACGAGGCUGCCACGAAGAGCUGGCGCCUGCAACCUGCGGGUGGGCGCUCGCCGGGACCCGACCACGCUGGCGUCCGGCCUCCAGGACGUGAGAAACAAGUUUCUGCUGUGUGUAAGCCACCACCUGUGGUGCUUUGUCACAGCUGCUCGAACUAAGACAACCAGUGUCCUUACGGGAAGAGACGAGACGCACAGGGACACGCGAUGGGGACAGCGCCAUGCGACCCAGAGGCAGAGACCGAAGGGAAGCCAAGGAGCACCGAGGGCUGCCGGUGACCACCGGAAGCGGAACGGGCAAGGGACUGUCCUCCCCGCCGGAUCUCGAGGGCACAGGGCCCUGUGACAGCGUCACGACCGACCUCUCGCCUCCAGAGCUGCGAGACAACGCGUGUUGGCGUUUGAAGCCAGCCAGUUUGCGGCCGUGGGUCUUAGCACCCUGGGGAACCACGCUGCCACCCUCCCUCCCUCCCGUUUCCUGACCGCAUUGGGGGUGCAGUCUCUUCUCCCACAGUUUCUCUUUGACCCUGUCACGGUGGUUUUUAUCUGCUGUUUAUGUCCCUCUCAUUUGGGCACAGGGAUAUUUGCAAGGUGACUGCAGACUUCACGGUGACCAGCACCAUCCUGUGCUCGCCCAGGAAGCAGAGAGGGCUAAGCAGUGGGGUGGGGGGCAGGGGCGGCAGGGAGCAGCAGAGGGGCCACACCUGCCCCUCAGACUCCAUUUACAAAACACACAUGCAGAGAUAAAAUGAUUAAGGGUUUCGAGAUGGUGACUGCAAGCAUUAAACCCUUCUGAGCCCAGGCCCUGGGAUGGCCACACAUGCAGGAGGCCGGCCCUGACCACACCAACCCGAGGCCACUCAGAAGGACAUAAACACUGACGGCGUCUGCCGUGCGCCUGGGCCGCACAACUUAAAAGCCUCAUUUCCCGUCUCCACCCGGCCCUGGAGGGGCGGACGGUGCGGCGGAUGAGGAGAGAGACUCUCGCAGUCACGGGCGAGGCGAGCCCGGGUCUCGCUCCCGAGUGCUCCCUCUGGACGAUGUGGCGUGGUCCCCGCAAGCCUUCGGCUCCCUCUGACAGGCAGGUCCCGGCCACCGGCCAGCCCACACGGCUGGCAGAGAACAGAGUGGCCUGUUUCCAGGGAAGGUUUGGGGCAAGAAAGAUGCAAUAAAUCCCCAAACCACCGGAGCAUGAAUAAAAACACAAGAGUCAAAGACUAAGGUGGGGAGGCCGAUAUUUUUACCAGAAACAUUAAGCUGAGAUAAACGACCUCCACCAGCACGAAACUUCGCUCCGAGCCUUCUGGCAGCUGUGACAAAGAGAGGGCGUGACAAUUACGCGGUCCUGGUUUUCCAAUAAAAGGUAGAAAAAACGUUUUCCAUAAGGCGGGGCUGCGGAAGAGACGCUGCCUACGUGAGGGGUGGACACAGAACAGCAACCGGGCGUCUAGAAUUUGGGGUAACGGUUUACAACAACGUGCAGGCGCCCCGAAUCCGGCCGCUUCAUGACACUGUGCUCCGAACGGAGCAGCGGGCAUCGUGUACAGGCGAUUGUGGGGCACAGGCGGUGGGGCUCGGUCUCGACCAGACCCAGCGCUCACACGCAAAGCCCCGGAAGCCUAGAUGAGCUUCUGGAAGAGUCACCGCUGACCGCUGGCCCUGCUGUCGGCAGAGGGGACGGGACAAGUGCGACGGCGUGUGCUGAGCGGUGACAUCCGCUGGACGGUCAACACCCCGCCCCCGCUCCGAGGAGACACCUGCACGCCCCGCCUCCCCGCACAGAGAUCUGUGUCAGGUAACAGGAGUAACAGGAGUGGUUUUGAAGGAGUCGAAAUAAUAUCGUCGUCUUCAAAAGGGUGGUGUUUUUGUUUGAGUCGAGAUAAAAGGAUGUGACUGAAAGAAUUGCUUUUUUUUUUUUUUUGCCACGUGACCUCGGUCAAGGCCGACCUUGGAGAGACUCCUUGAGAAAACACGAACCCGGCGGAGCGUGCGGUGGACUCAGACCUCACGGUCAAGGGUGGAGAAGUGGAAGGGAAGCUGCGAUGGGGCGCGGGAGACCCCGUGCGCGGGGAGGGGCCCCCGCCUGGCUUGACCAGCUGCGGGAUGCUGAGGGACAGGCACAGGGGGCGGGGGGCAGCGGGCGGAGCGAGGACAGAGCCUGCAGCCAGACCAGCCGCACACCGCAGGCGAGCCCAGCCUCCCCGUGUGCAGACGGGGGUGAUGACAGCGGACGGUCUCAGUGAGCAAACGCGAAGGCGCACGCAGCACGGUGCCGCCAACACGUCCUCCCAGACGUCACCUCCCUCCUCCCCGCCCGCCGAGCCUGCCCCCUACGCACACACACGCCCACGGCGCAGCCCGAGCUCUGCGUCCCUGGGAGAAGGCAGUGUGGCAGGGGACAGUCCGGGGCCACCUGGCUCCUCACAGGAGAGCUCCCUGCCCUCUCGGGUCUUCGUAAUCGUAGCAGAGCGAAGACUAGCGAGAACCUUGACCGAUGAAACUGUGACGACGGGUCUCGCUGGUUCCCCUUAAACCCCACCGCUGCGGUGACAGGGUAGAGAGGGCUCGCCCACCAGAGCUGCAAAGGGUGCCAGUGAGCACCCUGGUCGGCUUCCCGGCCAGGCGAGGCUGCCCAGCGCCCGGCCCGCGUGGACGAGGAGCCCAGGUCCACGAGGACCACAGAGCCAAGACUAGCCUGCCCCUUCCGAGAGCCAGAGCAGCACCCACGAGGAAGAACCGGCUGCUUCUGGCUCUGCGGCACGGACCAGAGGGAGAACACGGGGGUCGGGCACAGCUGUGGCCCGCGAGGCCGGCCUUCCGAGCCAGGCCUGGGGAGCGCAGAAACCGGAGAGCAGGGAGGAGGGCAAGCAGAGGCCAGCCAGCCUUCUAAUGUCACGCUGAGUGUGCCCGAAACGCAAGGAGGACAGCCAGGGUGGGUGACACGGGGGCUUCUAGCCACCUAGGGCUCCGUGGUGAGCCACAGCCACGAUGUGGGCCCAGCAGGACACGCAGAGGCAGCAGUGAGGGUGUUUUACAAUCUGUGUGGCUGACCCAGGCGCCUGGGGCCUCUGGGGAUGCCAGCAGGAUCUGGGUGUUCCCAGGACACCCACGAAGCUUGGCUCAGACUUUCCCCGUGCUGGGCUCAGCCCCUGGCAGGGAAGUGGCUUCAGGAAGGUGGCAGGUGAGCGGUCCCUUAGCUUCUGUGUAUAAGACCGUCCUUAGCAGAAACUGAUCAUUACCCCCAAACCAUCUUUCUAAAGGCUGUAAAAGAAAAGUUGAACUUCGGUAAAUAAAGAUCAAUCAUCUGUGGCCUCCCGCUUGGAGGCCAACUCCAGCCGAGUGGGGGUGGCUUGUGCGAGCACUGCGUCGGAGGAUUCCGACUCAGCGGAGGUCUGGGACGGGGAGGUGCACCUGCCCCGACGCCAAAGGUGCUCCGGGCGCCGCACAUCCCCGACCUGCAGACACUCCCGCUCCGCUGGCUUCAUUCUGCCCAGCCUCACCCAACUGAGGGGCCCGGCGUCGUGACAGCUCCUCUGAGUCGACGGCACAGUGCCCUCAUCGCUCCCUAGGCCAGCCGCCCGUCGCUCCUGACUCACCUCCAGGUGGUGGCUCACCGGGGAGUGUCAGCAAAACUAAUUUGUUUAAUUUAUCUAAUUAUUCGUUCGUUCAAACCGUCCACCACCAAGGAGAAAGCUAGAAGGUUUGGGCUGACAAAUCAUUGUCACCGAAGCCGAAGGUCAUUAAUUAGUAACACGAUGCCGGGCGGGUGAACCGUGAUUCUGCGGACCUCCCGGCACCAGAGCGAAGCCUUAGCAGGGAGAACUUCCGCGGGUCGUAGCUAUGACUGAGCUGCGGAUUCUCUCCACCUACGCCUGAGCCAAGUCCAGGGACGAAGGCCACCACCGACUCGACCCUGUCUUAGCAAACGUUGGUGGAGACAAAACGCAUCGGAUUUUUAAUUGACAACCCCAAUGUGCACCCGAUGUGAACCCCAGGCCUGGCAGCCCCUGCUCGGGGCAGAACUCCGUGGGCCGGCUGGCUCCCCCACCCUCGUGCCCCGUGAGGCUCUGGCCACAGCUGUCCCCGUCACUCCGCCCGAGGCAUGGCUUCCCGGCUCUCUACUGUCACGACCGACACGCCCUGGAGCUUUAUUUUCCACAUGUCGUCGCAGCUGCCAGUGGCUUUUAUCACGGUGACCCGGGCGAGCCCUUUGACCUCGGCUCCCUAAAUCUGCCUCUCUGAGACCGUAGGUGGCCGGUGGUCUCUACGCGUGUGCCCUCGGGGUAUGUUCUGUUCGCAAGGAUGUGAAAUCCAGCCCUGGGUGCUCAUUUGUAGAAUAAGCCAAAUUCCUGAACGGCCCCAGACGGGCACCGGCCCGUUGCGAUAGCACACACACUAGUACCCGAAGCUCGGGGAAGAGCAUCAGGCCGUGAGUAAGUGCUCGGUCAGCGUUUGCCUUCAUCAGAUACCCACAAACCAUCUCUUCCCAACGCCCCCAGAUCGCACCGCAAGGAGACCCAUCCCGCCGUGCCGUGAAGAAAGGAAGCCUCGGGAUUAAACGGGCCCACGCGCCAAGGCCGGCACCUCGUCCCGGGCAGAGUGGUGGGACCGUCUCAGGGGCACCGUCUUGACGGUGGCAAGAGCGUGGGACGUGGUGAAUGACAAGCCCUCCUCACACAUGGAACCUGGUGAGUUAGGGCUGUCGCCGUGGCAGCCUGGUGGCCCACAGGAGCAGCGCCUUCUCCCAUGCCUCCUCGGGAGCCCAGCUCCACCGCCUGGGGGCACGGGUCUCCCCACCUGCGUUCCAGGCUCGGCUCCUGUUCAAUGAUGUUUGAUGUCCCGUUAAGGAGCUGUCACCUAAAAACGUAGUUUUGUUUUGAAAAUCCAGCCCUCUACAAACACAUGGAGGACACUGUUUAGUUAUUCAUUAUGCUGCUUAUUCCCCAUUUCUUCCUACGACAAAUCUGAAGUUGGGUAGAAAUAUGCACAAUAACCUGACUUAAAAAAAAUGCCGAGGAAAAGUGAGAAUGUCAAUAAACUGGGGGGCGGGGGGGGCUGAGAAAGCGGCCAGGACGGGUCAGAACUAGGCCGGGUCUGGCUCUUAAGGUGGCAGUGGGGUGUAAUCCGACAGCUCCCUUAGACAUUGCCACUGAAUCCUCUUUAAAAAUAGGAGAGAAAUUCUGUAGCUGAGCUGGAAAGUAACGCCGGUGUCACCAUAGAUAGUAAAUACCAAGGACUUCCGGAAGCUAAGUCAAGGAUGCGGCAUGGGCCCCGCUCGUCCCGGUACGGGGGCGGAGGGGGAUGACAAAGCCACGCUCUGGAAGCGCAUGGGUCGGAAUACGUGACUGCACGUGUCUUUGGAAAUGCGAUCCGCCCGGGUCCUGUGGACGGUCAUUUUGCCGUCACCUGCAUGAUUAUUUCAAUGAGUGACCAAGUUCAUAUAAGUGACCUGGAGAUGUAGUCAUUUAUCGUUCACAAAAUGGGAUUCAUGGGGACCCACCGAGCGACUUUUCACGAUGAAACGUGGGCAGAGGGCCGUCCUCUUGGCCAUGGAGCGUCAGAGCCCAAGCGUAGGAGCCGACGGCUUGGCUGGGCCUUGGACGAGCCGCGCCCCGUGCCCCACGGCAGUGGCCGAGUUUCCUGGCGAAGGUGGGCAAGGGGGAGGGAAGCUUCGUCCCCCCGACUUCUACCCUGGCCAGAGCAGCUCGGACCUCUCUCUAUUUCUCUGUGCCUCAUUUCAGCUGGACAAGAGGUGGUGCAUCUAAAACCUGUCGUAACGGCACUGAGCUGGUACCAUCUGCCUCGUUUACAGAUGAGGCGACCGAGGCUUCCUGAGCACCGAGCCCGGCCCGACACCCAGACGCACGUCCCGGCCUGCGGUCCUUGCUCGGACGUCCGCAGCCUCCCCGAGUCCGAACCCGUCUCGGUACCCGUCAGCUCCCCCUAGGCCCCGCCUUCCUCAUGCCUCUGGAUGCUGCAUGAUAACAAAACGUAAAAUUGUGUCAUAACGUGGCAGAAUCCCGCAAUGCGGGCAGACUUGAUGAGAGAUGGAGAUAUGACAUCGUUUAAGAUUAUUCCAGAAAGCGAAAUGCCAAGCAGACAAGCCCGAGGAGGGAGCACCGUCUCCGGGGUACGUCGGAUUCUCAGCGGCCGUCCACCCCUUCGAGAGGACUCCCUGAAUAAUGGCGAGAACUGAACGUGUCGGUGACAUCUAUGACGGGAGCCCAUGGGUUUUUUUACAAAAGCGUUAAAAUCUGGGUUUUUAGUUCCGUCUAGCUUGCCGAAAUGUGAGACGGGGAAGCCUGAGGAGCGUCGGGGGCGGGGCCCGGCAGCCCCCCCUCCUCUAGAAGUUACGACGCUUCUAGUCAAGCAGAAAAAAGAGCCACGUUCAGUGGGAAUGGAAAGUGGCAGCCAGGCCCUGCCUCGAGGGACAAGGUUUUCUCCGGAAAGAAAUGGUAUCGCCACAAGUCUGUUUUCCUGGUGGUUUCGCCCUGUUCCACAUUGUUGUCACCAAACUUCACUUUCAAAAAUGACGUGGGCACCUCACCGCUCGCUGUCAGCCCUGCCUCCCACGGGGCGAACCGGGCAGGUCAGACGGGCUGGCGGCCGAGAAGUGACAGAGGUCGUUCUAGAAAGCUGCCCCUUGGGCUCCAGGCCCAAUGCACCAUCUGAGGUAAUUCCUCCGGCACCUGAGCCCCCCGACGCCUCUGCACGGACUGAAUCAUGGUCCCCCAAAUGCACAUGUUGAAGCCCUAACCCCAUGUGACCGUAUUAGAGACAGGGUCUUCAGGAGGUGACCGGGGUCGAAUGAGGCCGUAACAGUGGGUCUGGUCAGAAGGGACUGUGUCCUUGUCAGAAGAAGAGUCAUCGGCCAUCUCUCCCCGUCUCCCCGGUGCACAGAAGAGAGGCCCCGUGAGGACACAGAAGGAAGGUGGCCGUCUUCGAGCCAGGAUGCAGGGUCUCACCAGAAACCGAGCUGGCCGGGACCUUGAUCUUGGACUCCCGGCCUCCAGAACUGUGUUUGAGCCCCCUAGUCUGUGGCCUCGCUGCGCAGUGCCAGCUGACGGGGACGGCCACCCCAGCCUCGAGCCGUGGAGCGUGAGGCAGACAUCUCAGAGGCCCAGGGAGUGUGGGGGCACCCGUUCUGAGAGAGCAUGAGCGAGGGGUGCAGGCUGUGAACACGGCGGGGCCCGAACGCAGGCGAGUAAGUGGAGCCUGAGCCCGGCUCCCGAUCUGGGCAGAGUCCAUGGAAGGAGGGGGGCCCCCCGGGCGGCAGGCAGUGGGCCCCACUCCUGCCACGGAGAAGGGAGCCGGAGGUCCAGGGGUCCCGUGGGACACCAAAGGUGAUCUCAGAAGGGACAGGGGCGAGGGCCGAGCUGGGGGCCCGAGGCUUCCCCUGGACGGCUGGGCCCAGAUAAGGUGCCUCAGUGCCAGAGCUAUGUCCCUCCUGUUCUGGCUGGCCCACGAGACGCUCCCCGGCAAGAGCGUCUCGACUCCCCGGAGGCAGGUUACAUUAAAAUAAGGCCGUUUGAAUGGAGUCCAGCCUGACCUAUCAGAAGAGCAAUGUGGACACUCGGGGGGCAGCAGGGAUGUGGGCGCAGAGGAAAGGCCCCACGAGGCCGCAGCAGGAAGUCAAGGUCGGAGGCCGCCGCAGGAACCGGCCCUGCCGGCACCUCGACCUUGGACUUCUGGCUUCCGGGCCUGUGAGGAGACAAGUGGCUGCUGCAGCUGCCCAGUCUGGGGUACUUGGUUACGGCCACCCCGGCAGGGUGGCGUGUCACCCAGGGACGACAAAAAGUUCUGCAGAAAAAUGGGGCGCAAGUCAGGUGGAGAGGACGAGAAGGACGAACCAAGGCGACAGAGGGGGACAGAGCCGGGGGGCCCGCGGGAGCAGACGGCACCCCGGGGAGCGCCACGCCAGGAAGACUCUCCCAGGGAAGGCGGCGUUUGCUGUGGCCGUUCACGGGUGACAGAGCCAGGCCGGAGCCAGGCCGCGCUGCUGGAUGCAGCCCGGGGCAGGCAGACCGCGGGCACGGGGCGGGGGGCGCAGGUCGGGCAGGACGGAGCGGCGGGGCGAAGGGGGCCGGGGCUCCGGGGGAGACUCUUCAGUUUCGUGUCGUGCGCAUGUGUAUUACACGAGGAGCUCGACUACUUUCGUGGGGAAGGGGACGUAGCGUGUGGCCGGAGCCUGGCGCAUCCUGUAGGAUGUGAUGGUCAGUGGGGGUCACGGAGCGACUCCAAGAAAUUAGGGGAGAACUGUGGGUGCCACGAAGGGGACUCACAGGGGUGCUGAGACCCCCAGGGCAUUAAAUAUCCAGACAGGAACGGCCGUGGCACUGCCGGAAAUGGGUCCUCACGGGCCGGACGGGGAGCAGGGCCUGGCGCCUCUCCCCUCCCACUUCUGGCUGGUCGCCUCCUGGAGGGUUCUCGAGACACACCCAACCCAGGACCCACAAAGCAUAGUGAGGGGCCCGGCCGAGGUCGUGCCUUGGGGCCCAGGCAGAGGGCAUCGUGGAUUCAGGGGUGUUACCAGCAAGUUGCAUCUUCCCCCAAAAGAUGAAAGCACUAGCCCCAACCCCUCAGGAUGCGACCUUGAUUAUAAAUAGCAUCGCUGCAGAGGUAACUCGUUAAGAGGAGGUCACACUGGAGGAGGGGACUCCAGGACGACAGGCGUCUUUAUGUCAUAAAAUGAUAGCUGUGUGAAGCCUGCAGGCAAGAAGAACGCCUUGCAAGGCAGGAUCGGAGGGAGGCGGCUACAAGCUGGGACGCGAGGGCUGUCCCCGAGGGAAGGACGGGGGCCGGUCCUCCCCUGGAGCGUGGCCCUGUGGUGCCCUGGUUUCAGACAGUCAGCCUCCGGAAUUCAGACGGUCAGCCUCCUCCAGAACUCAGACGGUCAGCCUCCAGAACUCAGACAGUCAGCCUCCGGAAUUCAGACGGUUAGCC